UAAAGUUUUUUUUUUUCUCCAAAACUCUUUUUUCUCUUCAUUCAACACUUCUCUCUUCCUUACCCUCACGCUGCCGCACUCCUUAACGCCGUCGAUCUCCCACUCGUCUACACUGCCGGUUGCCCAGCCACCUCCUCAGGCCGCCGAUCUGCUAGCCACCACUCUAAUCUAGCCUAGCCAUCGCUCUAGUCUAGCCUAGCCACCACCCACCACACCGCCCAAGCCACCGCGGCCGUCGUCGACCUCCAUACCCAUUCCUAGUUGAGACUUUGAGAGAUUUUGAGGUAACAACGCUUGGCGUCUUGUAGAGCGUGCAGAGAGGUAUAUGUAAAACUCUAUCUUCGUAAAGAUGGUACUCCUGUUAACACUGAAGCAGAAAGCAACAUUGAAAAAAUUAACAAACUGUUGAGUGAGUCUUCAAAUCGUGUGCAAUCAUCCGACCUUACUAGAAGUAUUGCAUGGGCACCAGAUGAUAUAUAUGCUCAAGUGUUUGGUAAUGAGCGCAAUGGUCGUGUUUGAGGUGUGGGAUUUGGCCCAACCCCAAGUAUGCAUCCUAUCAAGAGCACUCCUGCAAUUGCUCAAGUAAGAAGCCAAGAAAGGGAUGCUAAAGUGACUCAAUUGGAGAAUCAAGUGGCUUCUUUGACGGAGAAAGUGAAUCGUUAUGAAAACUUGGAGGAGCAAAUGACUCAAUUGAUGCAACUAGUGCAAAAUCAGCAAAAUCAUUCUUCAGAAGCUAAUCAGGGUGGUUUCGGUUUACACCAUCAAUCUCCAACUCCUUACAGAUCACAUGCUUCAUCCCAUCAAGAAACUAGCAUAUAGCGGUACAUGCAGUGUUUUAAGGACUUCAUGGGCUAUUACAUGGUUGUUUUGAACAACCACAAUUAUUUUGGAACUAUUGUACUUUGUUUAUAAUAUUGUCAUAGUUUGGGUGGUUAUUUUUUUUUUUUUUGGUAUAGGUAGACAAGUGUUCUAUUACAAUCACAUAUAUUUUGGAAGUAUUGUACUUUGUUUAAUAUUGUCAUAGUUUAGGUGGUUGUUUUUUUUUGUAGAGA